rnacentral:rRNA from 1 species
GGGUCAGUAGGUUGGUCGUGCCACCGGUACGUACUGGUCUCACUGAUUCCUCCUUCCUGAAGAACCGUAAUGCCAUUAAUUUGGUGUUGCGGGGAAACAGGACUGUUACUUUGAAAAAAUUAGAGUGUUUAAAGCAAGGUAACGCUUGAAUACAUUAGCAUGGAAUAAUGAAAUAGGACGAUCGAUCCUAUUUUGUUGGUUUCUAGGAUUGACGUA